rnacentral:rRNA from 2 species
AGUCGAGCGGACAGAAGGGAGCUUGCUCCCGGAAGUCAGCGGCGGACGGGUGAGUAACACGUAGGUAACCUGCCCCUUAGACUGGGAUAACUCCGGGAAACCGGAGCUAAUACGGGAUAAUAAAGAGAAUCACCUGAUUCUCUUUUGAAAGACGGUUUCGGCUGUCACUAAGGGAUGGGCCUGCGGCGCAUUAGCUAGUUGGUAAGGUAACGGCUUACCAAGGCGACGAUGCGUAGCCGACCUGAGAGGGUGAUCGGCCACACUGGGACUGAGACACGGCCCAGACUCCUACGGGAGGCAGCAGUAGGGAAUCUUCCGCAAUGGACGAAAGUCUGACGGAGCAACGCCGCGUGAGUGAGGAAGGCCUUCGGGUCGUAAAGCUCUGUUGUGAGGGAAGAACAAGUACCGGCGUAACUACCGGUACCUUGACGGUACCUCACCAGAAAGCCACGGCUAACUACGUGCCAGCAGCCGCGGUAAUACGUAGGUGGCAAGCGUUGUCCGGAAUUAUUGGGCGUAAAGCGCGCGCAGGCGGCUUCUUAAGUCUGAUGUGAAAUCUCGGGGCUCAACCCCGAGCGGCCAUUGGAAACUGGGAAGCUUGAGUGCAGAAGAGGAGAGUGGAAUUCCACGUGUAGCGGUGAAAUGCGUAGAUAUGUGGAGGAACACCAGUGGCGAAGGCGACUCUCUGGUCUGUAACUGACGCUGAGGCGCGAAAGCGUGGGGAGCAAACAGGAUUAGAUACCCUGGUAGUCCACGCCGUAAACGAUGAGUGCUAGGUGUUAGGGGUUUCGAUGCCCGUAGUGCCGAAGUAAACACAUAAGC